rnacentral:rRNA from 1 species
AUUGAACGCUGGCGGCAGGCCUAACACAUGCAAGUCGAACGGUAACAGGAAGAAGCUUGCUUCUUUGCUGACGAGUGGCGGACGGGUGAGUAAUGUCUGGGAAACUGCCUGAUGGAGGGGGAUAACUACUGGAAACGGUAGCUAAUACCUCAUAACGCCUCAAGACCAAAGAGGGGGACCUUCGGGCCUCUUGUCAUCGGAUGUGCCCAGAUGGGAUUAGCUAGUAGGUGGGGUAACGGCUCACCUAGGCGACGAUCCCUAGCUGGUCUGAGAGGAUGACCAGCCACACUGGAACUGAGACACGGUCCAGACUCCUACGGGAGGCAGCAGUGGGGAAUAUUGCACAAUGGGCGCAAGCCUGAUGCAGCCAUGCCGCGUGUAUGAAGAAGGCCUUCGGGUUGUAAAGUACUUUCAGCGGGGAGGAAGGGAGUAAAGUUAAUACCUUUGCUCAUUGACGUUACCCGCAGAAGAAGCACCGGCUAACUACGUG